ACCAGUGUGGAGCAAAGCACCCUGAGUAUCUAAGAUCGACACAGCUCAGAAAACAUGUUGCCACACUCUCACAAGUCCUUAAUUUGAAAAACAAUGAACUUGAUCAGGUUGCAGAUUUCCUGGGUCAUGAUAUCCGCGUUCACCGCGAAUUCUACAGAUUACCAGUUCCCACAACACAGCUGGCCAAGAUUUCCAAACUGCUUUUAACACUGGAAAAAGGACAUCUUUCCCAGAUCCAGGGGAAAUCACUGGAUGAGAUCGAAAUUGAAGAUGAAAUUGCAUUAAGUGAUGCUGAAACAAAGGACAGUGAGAGUGAAUCAGAUGAUGAUGACACAGCACUCACAAUGUCGGCGUGUGGCACCAGUGAGCCUGUACAUGCAGUAGCUGAUUCCACAAACACAGCGCAGCUCCAAGACACUGUAGAUUGUGCAGAUGAAGAACCACUCAUAAUGCCUGCAGCAAGUGAGACUGCUGCUCCCUCUGAAGAUAAAAAUGCUGCUCAAUCCCACAAUUCCCGAAGAGCUCCCAAAAACAUGUGGUCCAAGGCUGAGGUUGCUGCAGUGAUGAGGCAUUUUAAAGACCACAUAAACGAAGGGAAACUGGCCACCAAAAAUGAAUGCAGUCAUUGCAAAUUGGUAGAAGAUCCGAUGUUGGCAGGAAG